rnacentral:lncRNA from 1 species
CUAACACCAAUAUCAGUCACUAAACCAUUUCCCUAAGCACCACAUCUACCCUUUUUCACCCUUUCCUCCAGGGACUGUGACACCACCGCUUCGCUGGGUAACCUGUUCCAAUGCCUAACCACUCUUUCUGAGAAGAAAUUUCUCCUCAUAUCCAACCUGAACAUCCACUGGCACAACUUGAGGCCACUCCUUCUUCCUAGUUAUCUGGGAGAAGAGGCUUACACCUACCUUGCUAUAACUUCCUUUCAGGUAGUUGUAGAGAGCGAUGGGGUCUCCCCUGAGCUUCCUCUUCUCCAGACUAAACAACCCCAGUUCCCUCAGCUGCUCCUCAUAGGACUUGUGUUCCAGACCCUUUACCAGCUUUGUAGACCUUCUCUGGACACACUCCGGGGCCUCAAUGUCUUUCUUGUAGUGAGGGGCCCAAAAGUGAACAUAGUACUUGAGGUGCAGCCUCACCAGAGCAGAGUACAGGGGGAAGAUCGCCUCCCUGGUCCUGCUGGUUAUACUAUUCCUGAUACAAGCCAGAAUGCCGUUGGCCUUCUUGGCCACCUGGGUACACUGCCGGCUCAUGUUCAGGAGAGCAUCGACCAACACCCCCAGAUCUCUUUCCUCUGCACAGCUUUCCAGCCACUCUGCUCCAAGCCUGUAGCACUGCAUGGGGUUGUUGUGACCAAAGUGCAGGACCCGGCACUUAGCCACGUUGAACCUCAUCCCACUGGCCUCUGCCCAUUGAUCCAGCCUGUCCAGGUCCCUCUGCAAGGCCUUCCUACCCUCCUCCAGCAGAUUGACACUUCCCCCCAACUUGGUGUCAUCUGAAAACUUCCUGAGGGUGCACUCAGUUCCCUGGUCCAAAUCAUCAAUAAAGAUAUUAAAGAGGAUGGGCUCCAACACCAACCCCUGGGGAACACUACCUGUGACUGGACGCCAGCUGGAUUUCACUCCGUUCACCACCACUGUCUGGGCCUGGCCGUCCAGCCAGUUUUUAACCCAGCAAAGAGUGUACCUGUCCAAGCCAUGGGCUUCCAGCUUCUCCAGGAGAAUACUGUGGGAGACCGUGUCAAAGGCUUUGAUGUAGUCUAGGUAGACUACGUCAACAGCCUUCCCUC